GGCAAAAAUUUUUGUGGGAGGGACGUAAGAGAAAGUUGACAUUCAGGAAUCUUCACCUUGCUGAGUGCAUCAUAAAUGCAGUGCAGAGCUGCCAUAAAUGUGAAGACUUCAAGGUAGAAACCAUGGUCACGGAUUAACUUCGCCACGCACCUGCCUGACAUCAGUCAUCUCAAAUGGAACAUUCUGCACCACAGGAGAGAGAGAUGUGAACCGCCUUAAGUGGGCCUCCGUGAAUGCGCUGAGCUUUUUAUUAUGUUUAUCAGACAUUUUUU